CUACGGGUCGCACCAGUGGGGAAUAUUGCACAAUGGAGGAAACUCUGAUGCAGCAACGCCGCGUGGAGGAUGACACUUUUCGGAGCGUAAACUCCUUUUAUAUAGGAAGAAGAUGACGGUACUAUAUGAAUAAGCGCCGGCUAACUCCGUGCCAGCAGCCGCGGUAAUACGGAGGGCGCAAGCGUUACUCGGAAUCACUGGGCGUAAAGAGCGAGUAGGCGGAUUAAAAAGUCAGAAGUGAAAUCCUAUAGCUUAACUAUAGAACUGCUUCUGAAACUCUUAAUCUAGAAUAUGGGAGAGGUAGGUGGAAUUUCUGGUGUAGGGGUAAAAUCCGUAGAGAUCAGAAGGAAUACCGAUUGCGAAGGCGAUCUACUAGAACAUUAUUGACGCUGAGACGCGAAAGCGUGGGGAGCAAACAGGAUUAGAUACCCCUGUAGUC
rnacentral:rRNA from 1 species